rnacentral:rRNA from 1 species
GACGAACGCUGGCGGCGUGCUUAACACAUGCAAGUCGAACGGUAAGGCCCUUCGGGGUACACGAGUGGCGAACGGGUGAGUAACACGUGGGUGAUCUGCUCUGCACUUCGGGAUAAGCCUGGGAAACUGGGCCUAAUACCGGAUAGGACUCCUGGCUUCAUGGUUGGGGGUGGAAAGCUUUUGCGGUGGGGGAUGGGCCCGCGGCCUAUCGGCUUGUUGGUGGGGGAAUGGCCGACCAAGGCGACGACGGGUAGCCGGCCUGAGAGGGUGACCGGUCACACUGGGACUGAGAUACGGCCCAGACUCCUACGGGAGGCAGCAGUGGGGAAUAUUGCACAAUGGGCGCAAGCCUGAUGCAGCGACGCCGCGUGAGGGAUGACGGCCUUCGGGUUGUAAACCUCUUUCAGCUAUGACGAAGCGCAAGUGACGGUAGUAGCAGAAGAAGGACCGGCCAACUACGUGCCAGCCGCCGCCGUAA